GACGUAGGGCGCAAGCGUUGUCCGGAUUUAUUGGGCGUAAAGGGCGCGUAGGCGGCACUGUUAGUCAGGCGUGAAAGUCCUGGGCUCAACCUGGGAACUGCGCCUGAUACGGCAGAGCUAGAGGAUGGAAGAGGGUCGCGGAAUUCCCAGUGUAGAGGUGAAAUUCGUAGAUAUUGGGAAGAACACCGGUGGCGAAGGCGGCGACCUGGUCCAUUACUGACGCUGAGGCGCGACAGCGUGGGGAGCAAACAGG
rnacentral:rRNA from 1 species